GUACUGGUUGAUCUGCGUGUUAUGUUGUCUCAAGAUUAGCUGAUGUGUAGUAUGACAAUUAGUGUGAAUGCGAUGGUCAUUAUCAGUUAUGUUUGUUUGAUGGUAUCUUUGUAUCGGUACGUAGUAUUUAGGUAUAGUGCAACAACCGAUUUGGAGGGAUGAUUUUUAGUAAAGGUCGCGGGCUUUGCCGUUGUGCGAUGAUUCUGAUAAUCGGGAUCGCACGGCCUUGUGCGGCGAGAUCAUUCAAUUUUGCCUAUCACUUUCGAUGGUAGGAUGUGGCUAUAUGGUGGUGAGGGUGCGGAGAUUAGGGUUCGAUUCGGAGAGGGGCCUGAGAAACGGUACCAAUCAGGAAGGCAGCAGGCGCAAUUACCAUCUGACGGGAGGUAGUGACAUAAUACAUACGGGUAUCGGUUGGUAAUUGGAUGGUACAUUAAUCCUUACGGGAUCAUUGGGGGCAGUUGGUGCAGCAGCGCCGGUAUUCAGUCAUAGCGUAUAUUUAGUUGUUGCAGUUAAAGUCGUGUUGGACUUUGGGUUGGGUCGGCCGGUCGCAUAGGUGUGCACGGUUUACUCGUCCUUUGUCGGCGAUGCGUCUACCUUAUGGGCGGGUGUGCUCGGGUUGUUAUUUGAGAAUUGAGUGUCAAGCAAGCUACGCUUGUUACUUAGAUGGAUACAUCAUGGAUUUCGGUCUAUUACGUUGGCCUUCGGGAUCGGAGUAUGAUUAAGGGAGUCGGGGGCUUGUAUUUAUGUCAGAGGUGAAUUCUUGGAUUUAUGAAGAGAAAAUGCGAAGAUUUGCAGGAUGUUUUCAUUAAUCAGAACGAAAGUUGGGGGCUCGAGAGAUCAGUACGUCCUGUUCAACAUAACGAUGCGACAGGGUCAGGGAUGUUGCUUUUGGACUCCGUGGCACUUAUGAGAAUCAAGUUUUUGGGUUCGGGGGGAGUUGGUGCAGGCUGAAUUAAGGAUUGCGGAGGGCACCAGGGUGGGCUGCGGCUUAUUUGAUCAAGGGGAAUUACAGGUCAGAUAGUAGGAUUGACGAUGAGAGCUUUUUGAUUCUAUGGGUGGUGGUGAUGGCGUUUUGUUGGUGGAGCGAUUUGUUGGUUAUUCGUUAGACGAGAUCGCUGUAAUGCUAUGUGGAGGUAUCCUCCAUGGCAGUUCUUGGGGAUAUGGCUUUUGGCACGGAGUUUGAGGCAUACAGGUCUGUGAUGCCUUAGAUGUUCUGGGCGCAGGCGCUACAUGAUGUAUUCACGGUAUAUGCCUUGGCGAGGCCGGGAAUCUUUGAAUUUCAUCGUGAUGGGGAUGAUCAUUGCAUUGUUGGUCUUAACGAGGAUUCUGUAAGCGCGAGUUCAGCUGCGUUGUGUCCUGCUUUGUAACACGCCGUCGUCUACGAUUGAUGGUCGGUGAGUGUUGGAUCGUGGCGAGUGGGCGGUUCGUGCCGCGAGUCGCGAGAUUCCUGACUUAUAUUUGAGGAGGGAGUGUAAAGGUUUCGUAGGUGAACUGCGGAGGAUCAUUG
rfam:Helianthus annuus unplaced genomic scaffold HanXRQChr00c1045, whole genome shotgun sequence.